UAUCUCCGCACAUUCGUGGGACAUGCUAGGUUGGGAUUUCGGGGGCCCACUGCGAGUCCUAAGAUUGGGGCUUUAACAUCUGUAGUGUGGGAGGAACCACUUCCUUAUCCCAAUUUCCCCUUUAUCAAGGCCCUGUGCAUUCACGCCCCCAAACGGAGUGUUAGGGGUUGGAAGCCGCUCCGAUUUUCCUAUUCUUCUUUACCAUAAAAGUCCCGGACUUGGGGAUCAGUGGGAGGUUAGUAUUUUUGGCCCCGUGCGGGCCCCCUCACAGAGAAAUCAAAAUUCUUGGGGUUCCGGGGGGGAGUAUGGGUCCAAAGGCUCAAAACUUAAAAAAAUUGACGGAAGGGGCCCCCGCCGGGCGUGGCACUUGCGCCUUAAUUUGUCUCAACCCGGGAAAACUCACCAGGUCCAGACACAAUAAGGAUUGACAGAUUGAGAGCUCUUUCUUGAUUUUGUGGGUGGUGGUGCAUGGCCGUUCUUAGUUGGUGGAGUGAUUUGUCUGCUUAAUUGCGAUAACGAACGAGACCUUAACCUGCUAAAUAGCCAGGCCCGCUUUGGCGGGUCGCCGGCUUCUUAGAGGGACUAUCGGCUCAAGCCGAUGGAAGUUUGAGGCAAUAACAGGUCUGUGAUGCCCUUAGAUGUUCUGGGCCGCACGCGCGCUACACUGACAGAGCCAACGAGUUCAUUUCCUUAGCCGAAAGGUUUGGGUAAUCUUGUUAAACUCUGUCGUGCUGGGGAUAGAGCAUUGCAAUUAUUGCUCUUCAACGAGGAAUGCCUAGUAAGCGCUUGUCAUCAGCAUGCGUUGAUUACGUCCCUGCCCUUUGCCGCUCGCCGCCCGUC
rnacentral:rRNA from 1 species